GUAUCAUUGCAGAAUCAUUCAUUACCGAAUCUUUGAACGCAAACGGCGCAUGGGAGAAGCUCCUCAGAGUCAUCCCCGUGCAUGCCAUAUUUCUCAGUGUCGAAC
rnacentral:rRNA from 1 species